UUUGGCUAUUUUACUAAAAAAAAAAGAAGAAAUACGAUACCUUUCUCAUCUUGAUUGAUUCAGCUGGUAAAUUGCGAGAGUACAGCCCAGAAAAACGCUGAAUAUCCAAUGAGGAGGUUGACAAUGAUUCUCGUCGAACUGAAACGCGCGAAGGAUCUCGAGUUUAUAACAUUGUGACAUCUAUAGCAACGAUCACACCAGGUAUAUACAUCACCUUCACGAGCAUCGAACUUCUACUGACCCGUGAUUUGCCGCGGCACGCUGACAGAAAAAUAAGCGAGACUUUCUUGCAUCAAGGAUGAAUGUAAAUUACAUUGGUUACCAUAGUUGGACACGAAAGAAUACUGGAAGAGGAAGUCGAAAUAAAAGAAUCUCGUAACGAAGGCUAAGGUUUCUCUACUUUUUUCGUGGAUUAAU
rnacentral:misc_RNA from 1 species